rnacentral:rRNA from 1 species
UACGUAGGGGGCAAGAGUUGUCCGGAUUUAUUGGGCGUAAAGAGCGUGUAGGCGGCCACACAGGUCAGCUGUGAAAACUCGAGGCUCAACCUCGAGACGUCGGUUGAAACCGUAUGGCUAGAGUCCGGAAGAGGAGAGUGGAAUUCCCGGUGUAGCGGUGAAAUGCGCAGAUAUCGGGAAGAACACCCGUGGCGAAGGCGGCUCUCUGGGACGGUACUGACGCUGAGACGCGAAAGCGUGGGGAGCGAACAGG